rnacentral:rRNA from 1 species
UACGUAGGUGGCAAGCGUUGUCCGGAUUUACUGGGCGUAAAGAGCGCGCAGGCGGUCCUUUAAGUCUGAUGUGAAAGCCCACGGCUCAACCGUGGAGGGUCAUUGGAAACUGGGGGACUUGAGUACAGAAGAGGAAAGCGGAAUUCCACGUGUAGCGGUGAAAUGCGUAGAGAUGUGGAGGAACACCAGUGGCGAAGGCGGCUUUCUGGUCUGUAACUGACGCUGAGGCGCGAAAGCGUGGGGAGCAAACAGG